CCUACGGGUGGCAGCAGUGAGGAAUAUUGGUCAAUGGCCGUAAGGCUGAACCAGCCAAGCCGCGUGAAGGAUGACUGCCCUAUGGGUUGUAAACUUCUUUUAUAAAGGAAUAAAGUGAGGCACGUGUGCCUGUUUGUAUGUACUUUAUGAAUAAGGAUCGGCUAACUCCGUGCCAGCAGCCGCGGUAAUACGGAGGAUCCGAGCGUUAUCCGGAUUUGUUGGGUUUAAAGGGAGCGUAGGUGGGUUGUUAAGUCAGUUGUGAAAGUCUGCGGCUCAACCGUAAAAUUGCAAUUGAUACUGGCAGUCUUGAGUACAGUUGAGGUAGGCGGAAUGCGUGGUGUAGCGGUGAAAUGCUUAGAUAUCACGAAGAACUCCGAUUGCGAAGGCAGCUUACUAAACUGCCACUGACAUUGAUGCUCGAAAGUGUGGGUAUCAAACAGGAUUAGAUACCCCAGUAGUC
rnacentral:rRNA from 1 species